rnacentral:rRNA from 1 species
GAUGAACGCUGGCGGCGUGCCUAAUACAUGCCAGUCGAGCGAACAGACGAGGAGCUUGCUCCUCUGACGUUAGCGGCGGACGGGUGAGUAACACGUGGAUAACCUACCUAUAAGACUGGGAUAACUUCGGGAAACCGGAGCUAAUACCGGAUAAUAUAUUGAACCGCAUGGUUCAAUAGUGAAAGACGGUUUUGCUGUCACUUAUAGAUGGAUCCGCGCCGCAUUAGCUAGUUGGUAAGGUAACGGCUUACCAAGGCAACGAUGCGUAGCCGACCUGAGAGGGGGAUCGGCCAAACGGGAACGGAGACACGGCCCAGACUCCUACGGGAGGCAGCGGUAGGGAUGCUUCCGCAAUGGGCGAAAGCCUGACGGAGCAACGCGGCGGGAGUGAUGAAGGUCUGCGGACCGAAAAACUUGGUAAUUAGGGAAGAACAAAUGGGAAAGUAACUAGGCACGCUUGGACGGUACCAAAUCAGAAAGCAACGCCUAACUACGG